rnacentral:rRNA from 1 species
AACGUACGCUGGCGGCACGCCUAACACAUGCAAGUCGAACGAAGUAGCAAUACUUAGUGGCAGACGGGUGAGUAACAUGUGGGUAUCUACCCUUUGGCCUGGAAUAACACGAGGAAACUUGUGCUAAUACCGGAUAAGUCUUUACGGAGAAAGCUUUAUGCACCAUUGGAUGAGCCCGCACUUGAUUAGUUUGUUGGUAGGGUAAUGGCCUACCAAGACUAUGAUCAAUAGCUGAUUUGAGAGGAUGAUCAGCCACAUUGGGACUGAGACACGGCCCAAACUCCUACGGGAGGCAGCAGUGGGGAAUCUUGCACAAUGGAGGAAACUCUGAUGCAGCGAUGCCGCGUGAGUGAAGAAGGCCUUUGGGUUGUAAAGCUCUUUCGUCGGGGAAGAAAAUGACUGUACCCGAAUAAGAAGGUCCGGCUAACUUCGUGCCAGCAGCCGCGGUAAUACGAAGGGACCUAGCGUAGUUCGGAAUUACUGGGCUUAAAGAGUUCGUAGGUGGUUGAAAAAGUUGGUGGUGAAAUCCCAGAGCUUAACUCUGGAACUGCCAUCAAAACUUUUCAGCUAGAGUAUGAUAGAGGAAAGCAGAAUUUCUAGUGUAGAGGUGAAAUUCGUAGAUAUUAGAAAGAAUACCAAUUGCGAAGGCAGCUUUCUGGAUCAUUACUGACACUGAGGAACGAAAGCAUGGGUAGCGAAGAGGAUUAGAUACCCUCGUAGUCCAUGCCGUAAACGAUGUGUGUUAGACGUUGGAAAUUUAUUUUCAGUGUCGCA